rnacentral:misc_RNA from 1 species
AAUGAUGGUUCCAAUGGUGCAGCACGAAGAGGAAUAUUAUUAAAGCAGUUUGAAGAAAGGAAAAGACUUUAUGUACUACGUUUAUCUUCUAUCUCCAGACUUCCAGUUCUACAAAACAAUUAAGGAUACUAAAGAAUAAAUCAGUGGCGUGGGUUACCUGUCUCAAACGUCCGAGAGAGAUUGGAUCGAGUGGUUACGAAUAGAUAUUUGAUGCCAAAUUUGAGGAAGUGAAAUCAAGUGAGAUAUGAGAAGCGUAAAGAUGAGAGGUCGUUUUGUCUGCUGUGUUUUGGUAAUUGGGUAGAUAUCUUGAUUAUGCACAUGAAAAGAGAACAAAAAGAAAAAGAGGUCCUUUCAUUGUAUACGUCUCCGUCGCGUACUUUUCAUUCCGCUCGUCUCUCCUAGCGGAAGAAACACAUAUUUUGCUAAUAAACUCAUAUCAGACAGAUUAAGCUACUUCUCCCGGCUGGGGACAACACAACAGACCCUCCUGUAAGCUCUCCGGACAGACUCUAGGCCAGACUCUCCAGACACACACUCUAGGCCAGACCGGGAAAUAGUUACUGCGGGCGCGCGCGAUUAUUAUCGUGACGUCACAAGUAGUAUAAUCGAUGGAAUCGAAUUGUUAUUCGGGAAUAUGGAGCCGCAAGAAGUCAAAGUAGUAGUUUAUGCGGCGAGAAAUUUACAAUCAAAGCGAGAAGAUGUCUGCUGCGCUUCAGUCGUUUUUGGCAUCGGAAAAGAGAAAUUUCGUACGGAAGUAGUGAAGGAAAACAAUCCGACAUGGAAUGAAGAAUCUGUAAUAAAACUAGGCAAAGCGGCGCCUCUUGUUUUCACUGUAUUUGACAAAGAAGAUGUACUGGGAACUGUUACCGUUCCUCUGGCCCAGAUCCCCUCGGCUGCACAUCGACGAAGAUGGAUGCCACUGACCAAUAAAAAUGCACCUUCGAAUGGAGACCUUUGCCUUGAUUGUUGGGUUGUGUCAUUUAGGAAGAGUACAGCAACAUGGACAUCGGCAUUUAAAACUAGUUUUCUACCUUCCAGUAUGAUCAAAGAUCGAUCAAAAAGACGACAGUCAAUAGAAAUGGCGUCCAUCUCUCUAAAAGGAUCGCACUCGCAAGAAAAUUUAUACACAGACCUUACACUCAAACCAGCUUCCGAUAAAGACUUGAAGCGCACUGAUAGUGGCAACCUCACGCGUCCCCUACCCCCUCCCCCUUUAGUAAAUGGCGAUGUUCCGUCAAUAGCAGACACAAAGCAGAAGUUUGCUUUUAGUUUUCGGCCGCGCCUGACUCCAACCCUCGGGCAGAUCAUGUCAGGGAGUGGUCCCCCGGAGAUUACUGUAGUUACACCUAAAUGUGGCCCUGCAUCCGGGGGGACAAAGAUCACGAUACGAGGAGCCAAUCUUGGUACUUCCAAAGAUGAUAUCUUGUCACUUAGUAUCAAUGGCUCAGAUGUUAGAAGUACAAUGGAAUGGCAUUCACCGGCAAAACUAACAUGUAAAACCAAACCUUGGGGUGGCAGUGGACCUGUUGCUGUUGUCACAAAGACAGGAGGUCGCGGCACGUCUAUGGUCAAGUUUACUUUUCAGGAAGAGAAAGCGGAAAAAAUCAAAGAUAAUAAAGUACCAAGACAUCAAUUGUUAGAAGAAUUAACCCGAUUACGACAUGAAGUUCACGAAUUGUCGGACGAAAAAGAAGCUUUACAGAAGUACAUAGACGAUAUGAUGGUGACAUUAAUGGAAAAAUGUCCCGAGACUUCCCAUCAACCAGUGCAAGCUACUGGUUCAUCAUGAUAGAGACUUCCAUACCUCGGCAUCCUGUUCCAUGUGACUGAUACUGCCAGGGUACCCAGCACAGCUGAAGUUACGAGCUAAUUUCUGCAUAAUAAUCAUCAUUGCAACACAUCAGGGAGGGAUAUAUAUGAUAAGACCCCAAGACAGGCAUGAUAAUCUACAAAACUAAUUUGUGUUGACAAGGAAUCCAUUACUCACCC